rnacentral:rRNA from 1 species
UGUUCCUACGGGAGGCAGCAGUGGGGAAUAUUGCACAAUGGGGGAAACCCUGAUGCAGCGACGCCGCGUGAGUGAAGAAGUAUUUCGGUAUGUAAAGCUCUAUCAGCAGGGAAGAAAAUGACGGUACCUGACUAAGAAGCCCCGGCUAACUACGUGCCAGCAGCCGCGGUAAUACGUAGGGGGCAAGCGUUAUCCGGAUUUACUGGGUGUAAAGGGAGCGUAGACGGCGAAGCAAGUCUGAUGUGAAAGGCAGGGGCUCAACCCCUGGACUGCAUUGGAAACUGUUUUGCUAGAGUGCCGGAGAG